rnacentral:rRNA from 1 species
CGUACACUCCUGCGGGAGGCAGCAGUGGGGAAUAUUGGACAAUGGGCGCAAGCCUGAUCCAGCCAUGCCGCGUGAGUGAUGAAGGCCCUAGGGUUGUAAAGCUCUUUCACCGGUGAAGAUAAUGACGGUAACCGGAGAAGAAGCCCCGGCUAACUUCGUGCCAGCAGCCGCGGUAAUACGAAGGGGGCUAGCGUUGUUCGGAUUUACUGGGCGUAAAGCGCACGUAGGCGGACUAUUAAGUCAGGGGUGAAAUCCCGGGGCUCAACCCCGGAACUGCCUUUGAUACUGGUAGUCUUGAGUUCGAGAGAGGUGAGUGGAAUUCCGAGUGUAGAGGUGAAAUUCGUAGAUAUUCGGAGGAACACCAGUGGCGAAGGCGGCUCACUGGCUCGAUACUGACGCUGAGGUGCGAAAGCGUGGGGAGCAAACAGGAUUAGAUACCCUUGUAGUCCCA